rnacentral:rRNA from 1 species
AUUGAACGCUGGCGGCAGGCUUAACACAUGCAAGUCGAGCGGCGAUGAGGUUCUUGCACCUUAUCUUAGCGGCGGACGGGUGAGUAAUGCUUAGGAAUCUGCCUAUUAGUGGGGGACAACAUUCCGAAAGGAAUGUUAAUACCGCAUACGUCCUACGGGAGAAAGCAGGGGACCUUCGGGCCGUGCGCUAAUAGAUGAGCCUAGGUCGGAUUAGCUAACUGGGGGGGUAAAGGCCUACCAAGGAGAUGAUCUGUAGCGGGUCUGAGAGGAUGAUCCGCCAAACUGGGACUGAGACACGGCCCAGACUCCUACGGGAGGCAGCAGUGGGGAAUAUUGGAAAAUGGGCGGAAGCCUGAUCCAGCCGUGCCGCGUGUGUGAAGUAGGCCUUUUGGUUGUAAAGCACUUUAGGCGAGGAGGAGGCUCUUAAGGUUAAUACCCUUGAUGAGUGGACGUUACUCGCAGAAUAAGCACCGGCUAACUCUGUGCCAGCAGCCGCCGUAAAAC